rnacentral:rRNA from 1 species
CCUUGUAGUUUUGAUGUUCUAACGUUGGCCCCUAAUCGGGGUUGCGGACAGUGCCUGGUGGGUAGUUUGACUGGGGCGGUCUCCUCCCAAAGAGUAACGGAGGAGCACGAAGGUGGGCUAAACACGGUUGGACAUCGUGUGGUUAGUGCAAUGGCAUAAGCCCGCUUAACUGCGAGAAUGACAAUUCGAGCAGGUACGAAAGUAGGUCAUAGUGAUCCGGUGGUUCUGAAUGGAAGGGCCAUCGCUCAACGGAUAAAAGGUACUCCGGGGAUAACAGGCUGAUACCGCCCAAGAGUUCAUAUCGACGGCGGUGUUUGGCACCUCGAUGUCGGCUCAUCACAUCCUGGGGCUGAAGUCGGUCCCAAGGGUAUGGCUGUUCGCCAUUUAAAGUGGUACGCGAGCUGGGUUUAGAACGUCGUGAGACAGUUCGGUCCCUAUCUGCCGUGGGCGUUGGAAGAUUGAAGGGGGCUGCUCCUAGUACGAGAGGACCGGAGUGGACGAACCUCUGGUGUUCGGGUUGUUACGCCAGUAGCAUUGCCCGGUAGCUAAGUUCGGAAUCGAUAACCGCUGAAAGCAUCUAAGCGGGAAGCGAGCCCUGAGAUGAGUCUUCCCUGGCACUUUAAGUGUCCUAAAGGGUUGUUCGAGACUAGAACGUUGAUAGGUUGGGUGUGUAAGCGCUGCGAGGCGUUGAGCUAACCAAUACUAAUUGCCCGUGAGGCUUAACCAU